UACGUAGGGGGCAAGCGUUGUCCGGAAUCAUUGGGCGUAAAGCGCGUGUAGGCGGUCCGGUAAGUCCGCUGUGAAAGUCGGGGGCUCAACCCUCGGAUGCCGGUGGAUACUGUCGGGCUUGAGUACGGAAGAGGCGAGUGGAAUUCCUGGUGUAGCGGUGAAAUGCGCAGAUAUCAGGAGGAACACCAAUUGCGAAGGCAGCUCGCUGGGACGUUACUGACGCUGGGACGCGAAAGCGUGGGGAGCAAACAGG
rnacentral:rRNA from 1 species